AACGAACGCUGGCGGCAUGCCUAACACAUGCAAGUCGAACGAGACCUUCGGGUCUAGUGGCGCACGGGUGCGUAACGCGUGGGAACCUGCCCUUAGGUUCGGAAUAACUCCCCGAAAGGGGUGCUAAUACCGGAUAAUGUCUUCGGACCAAAGAUUUAUCGCCUUUGGAUGGGCCCGCGUUGGAUUAGCUAGUUGGUAGGGUAAAAGCCUACCAAGGCGACGAUCCAUAGCUGGUCUGAGAGGAUGAUUAGCCACACUGGGACUGAGACACGGCCCAGACUCCUACGGGAGGCAGCAGUGGGGAAUAUUGGACAAUGGGCGAAAGCCUGAUCCAGCAAUGCCGCGUGAGUGAUGAAGGCCUUAGGGUUGUAAAGCUCUUUUACCCGGGAUGAUAAUGACAGUACCGGGAGAAUAAGCACCGGCUAACUCCGUG
rnacentral:rRNA from 1 species